rnacentral:rRNA from 1 species
UACGUAGGGUGCGAGCGUUGUCCGGAAUUAUUGGGCGUAAAGAGCGUGUAGGCGGCCAUACAGGUCAGCUGUGAAAACUCGAGGCUCAACCUCGAGACGUCGGUUGAAACCGUAUGGCUAGAGUCCGGAAGAGGAGAGUGGAAUUCCCGGUGUAGCGGUGAAAUGCGCAGAUAUCGGGAAGAACACCUAUGGCGAAGGCAGCUCUCUGGGUCGGUACUGACGCUGAGACGCGAAAGCGUGGGGAGCAAACAGG